rnacentral:rRNA from 1 species
GACGAACGCUGGCGGCGUGCCUAAUACAUGCAAGUCGAACGAAGCUGUUUUAACUGGUGCUUGCACCGACUUAAACAACUGAGUGGCGAACGGGUGAGUAACACGUGGGUAACCUGCCCCAAAGCGGGGGAUAACAUUUGGAAACAGAUGCUAAUACCGCAUAACCACAGAAACCACAUGGUUUCUGUGUCAAAGAUGGUUUCGGCUAUCACUUUUGGAUGGGUCCGCGGCGUAUUAGCUAGUUGGUAAGGUAAUGGCUUACCAAGGCAAUGAUACGUAGCCGAACUGAGAGGUUGAUCGGCCACAUUGGGACUGAGACACGGCCCAAACUCCUACGGGAGGCAGCAGUAGGGAAUCUUCCACAAUGGACGAAAGUCUGAUGGAGCAACGCCGCGUGAGUGAAGAAGGUUUUCGGAUCGUAAAACUCUGUUGUCAGAGAAGAACGUGUGCGAGAGUAACUGCUCGUGCAGUGACGGUAUCUGGCCAGAAAGCCACGGCUAACUACGUGCCAGCAGCCGCGGUAA